rnacentral:rRNA from 1 species
UACGGGGGGGGCAAGCGCUGUUCGGAAUUACUGGGCGUAAAGGGCUCGUAGGCGGCCAACUAAGUCGGAUGUGAAAUCCCCAAGCUUAACUUGGGAACUGCAUCCGAUACUGGAUGGCUUGAAUCCGGGGAGAGGGAUGCAGAAUUCCAGGUGUAGCGGUGAAAUGCGUAGAUAUCUGGAGGAAUACCGGUGGCGAAGGCGGCAUCCUGGACCGGCAUUGACGCUGAUGAGCGAAAAGCUAGGGGAGCAAACGGG